AACGCAUAUUGCACUCUCUGGUAUUCCGGAGAGUACAUCUGUUCGAGCGCCAUUUCAACCCUCAAGUUUGACUUGGUGUUGAAGGAAAUCCGAAAGGAUACCUUCGAAACUUUUAGGCGUAUCCCGGCAAUUUAGGGCGCAACGAACUUACGUACGCGCUGAAAAUGAAGGGAACAUGCCUCGAUUAGUUGGGCGGUUAUUGACUGCACCUUCUAAAUUUCAAAGUUUGGCCUCGGAUCAGAUGGGAAUACCCGCUGAACUUAA
rnacentral:misc_RNA from 1 species